CUUACGCGUGUCACGUCUCUGGUGGCUUCUCUUCUCUUCAUCUCUGUUCAUCAUUUACCUCUCCACUGAUUUCCUGCCUCUUCCUUGAUCCCAUCCCUAACCGGACCGCUGUCGUGUGCUUGCCUAGGUGUCCCCGCUCGCUGCUCUGAUGGACGCCGUCGCGCAAUAAGACCAGGUGAAGGGUUGUGCUUGCAAAGGAGGCGGUGGAUUCAAGUGGAGCAGGCUGAAGAUCCACGUCCGAUGGAGAUGCGACGCCGUGGGGAUCGAGGAGUCGGAGAGCGACACGGAGCGAUGGUUACCAACACGAAUUUUCUCCUGCCCGAGCGUUUCCCUACGUCGAGAUCCCCCUGGUCGAGCUCCUCCAUGGCUGGUGGCUAUUGUGAGGGUCGGGCCCUGCUCCAAUGUCGCGGCGGCGCUCCGGCUCCCCGACGCAGCUCCUUAGUUGGAAGUGGCCCUGGCCUCAACAGAUUCGCGGCAGAGGCCGGAGGCCUGCGAGCCAUGGGCAGAGGCGAGCUCCACGCGCCGUGGUGAUGGCCUGAUGGGGUGACCUAGGCGGCGCCAUGGUGGAUUUUGGCGGCGUCCGUGAUAGAGGCCGAGAGGAUGGGACGCUGGAGGUCGCGCUAGCCCAGGAAUGGAGGCGCCGAGGAUCUGCUGCCUCCCACCGGCCUCGACUUCGUCAUGCUCCCAGCCAUGCUGCUGCCCAUUCAAUCAACUCUGGAAACCAUCAGGUGUCUCAGCAAAUCCCUAUGCAAGGUCGUCGAGGAGCAACGUUGCAAUCGCCUCAGCUAACGGCGCCACUGUCAUUGGCGUGAGCCGAUACGGGUGUGCAGAACUUCUCGUGAUGGUCCUGCAGCAGGGUGAUGACAGCUAACCUGCAGGCCACUCUGUCUUUUCGAUGAAUCAUUCAGGUUCUCCGUUGUUCCCUUUACUGAAAAAUUCUUCUAAAUUGGUGACUGUUGCAUGAAGUUGUUCCAUUUUGAGAACAAAGCCAAACUUCCGGUAUAUCUCUGGUGUACCAUCGCCAGACCACACAAAAAAUUCAAGCAACAAAUACAAUUAUUGAUAAAAAAUUAUGUACCAUAUGUUAAGAUAUUCAGAGAGGUAAUCAUUAUGCUAUUUUAAGUUCUCUAUAUUUUGUGAUUGUGCUUGAGACAAGAAAACAGUAAAAGAAGGAAUAAUAUGCUUUUGCUGUUUGGAGUUGGUAAUUAAAAAAUUGGUAGUAAAUUAAAUGAAUAACCAGGAACAACUCUUCGAUUGGAAUGUUCAGAUAUAAUCACUUCUUAUAGUGGUGCAGAUCUUCUUCAAAUGUUCGCUCGUAUGGAGCAAAGUAAGUGUGUUGGAUGGUUCAUCUUUGUCUGGAUAAAUAUAUGUAUCUUAAUUACAUGGCCGAUUAAGACUGACCAAUAUUUUUUGAUAUGAUUGGUUCAUGUCCUUGAUAGCAUUGAAUGGGGAGAUGCACAGCCUGGUCUGUGCCUAUGUAUGACCAAAUUCAGCUAGGAAAUGACAAGUUCUGUAGAGGAUUGUCAAAAUGGUUUAAUUUAUGCAUACGGAAUAAAUCCAUGUUCAUCCCUCCAUUGUGUGUUUGUGCCAUACAUCAGCGUGUCACCUCACAGCAAAGCUAAGAUAAGGCACUACAACCCUAAAUCUGGGCGGAACAUAAAUCUGGGCGGAACAGAAGAGGUUUUGCGCAUCAAUGGAUGUGCUUAUCUGUUUUUUGCAGCCAGUCCACUGGUUGAUCUAAGAAGCAUAUAUAGCUACUGAACAACUGACUCCUCAUCACUCUAAAUAGCUAGCCUUUACAACGAUAUUGCCGAGCAGAUGCUAUCUCUAUAUUGUGCUCAACAAUAGAUCAAAGAUCGAUGAAGUAUCCAUCCGUGCUCACAUGUACUGUUCCUUCUCACAAGAUAAUGAGGAUACCAGACAAGAUCGCAGUAGGUUCCUGACAGCCACAUUCCUAAAAGCUCUUCCUCCAAAAAUAUAGAUAACCUUUGUUCAUGAAUGUUGAUUCUGCCCUGUAGUCUAAACUAAGAUAAAUUGCCCAACUGAAAAACUGUUGCUUUUAAACUGUAAUUUAAGCUUUUGUCCAGAAACAUAUGUAGUUAUUCAAGUCCCCCAACUUCAGAUAAGUGCCUUUUAUACCCUGUAAUCUAAAAAAAGAUACCAACCCAGGCAAUAGCACCCGUCAGCAUUUUUUAUAGAAGAAAAACUCCAUGUGCGCGCCUGCCGAAUGCAUGAUUCGAACCAGGGCAGGCGGGGUGCGCUCUCGCACCACAAGCCACCAGAGUGACACUCUGUUCUCAUACCCUGUAAUCUAAACUUACUGCCAUAGAUUGACUAUGUGCUUGGUCCCUUUGAUUUGGUAACGACAGACAAUACAGUAACGGGCAACAGCAACUCAGAUCUCGGCAAUAUAGUCAGCACAUAUAAUUGCAUUGUGUGGUGCACUCAAAAUGUUGCCAUUGCAUCUUACAUAUUUAACUCAGCUCUCUGGAGAUGGCAACGACAAGUGCUCGCUGCUUGAUAUAUCUUUAGAGUCUAAUGCACUUCUAAGUAAGGAUAUUGUGAUUAGGUGGCUUGUGCUUAAUUCCAAUAUAUUAUCUGAUAGUGGUGGGAUAUCCAUUGUAACAUGUUGGUCUUGAUUCCCCGUGGCAAUUGGUUAAUUCCAAUAUAUUGUCUGAUAUUGUGCUUAGGUGGUUUGUUGCUUCUCUUUUCUUUUGACCAUGUUGCUCCUUAUGGUUGUAACCGAAGAGUCAAUAAUUGGCUCCUGUUCUCUUUGUGCACAGUUUUGCCUCACUC